AGCGGCGGAUGGGUGAGUAACACGUGGGGAACCUGCCCCUAAGUCUGGGAUACCAUUUGGAAACAGGUGCUAAUACCGGAUAAUAAAGCAGAUCGCAUGAUCAGCUUUUGAAAGGCGGCGUAAGCUGCCGCUAAGGGAUGGCCCCGCGGUGCAUUAGCUAGUUGGUAAGGUAACGGCUUACCAAGGCGACGAUGCAUAGCCGAGUUGAGAGACUGAUCGGCCACAUUGGGACUGAGACACGGCCCAAACUCCUACGGGAGGCAGCAGUAGGGAAUCUUCCACAAUGGACGCAAGUCUGAUGGAGCAACGCCGCGUGAGUGAAGAAGGUUUUCGGAUCGUAAAGCUCUGUUGUUGGUGAAGAUGGAUAGAGGUAGUAACUGGACUUUAUUUGACGGUAAUCAACCAGAAAGUCACGGCUAACUACGUGCCAGCAGCCGCGGUAAUACGUAGGUGGCAAGCGUUGUCCGGAUUUAUUGGGCGUAAAGCGAGCGCAGGCGGAAAAAUAAGUCUAAUGUGAAAGCCCUCGGCUUAACCGAGGAACUGCAUCGGAAACUGUUUUUCUUGAGUGCAGAAGAGGAGAGUGGAACUCCAUGUGUAGCGGUGGAAUGCGUAGAUAUAUGGAAGAACACCAGUGGCGAAGGCGGCUCUCUGGUCUGCAACUGACGCUGAGGCUCGAAAGCAUGGGUAGCGAACAGGAUUAGAUACCCUGGUAGUCCAUGCCGUAAACGAUGAGUGCUAAGUGU
rnacentral:rRNA from 1 species